CACCUGAAUGCAGCAUUCGUCUACCGUCGCACAUGACAUCAGAUCCCAGCCACGCAAAUGUUUGGCUAGUGCUAACUGCUAACAUGGACCGUUGGGUAAACAAGUGUAGCUACACCUUGUGAGCUGGCAGAAGAUUGGUCCGGACUAUUGUACCCUUCCUAAGGAUAUCACAGAUCCAGUUACUGCACAAGCAAUGGCACUCCCUUCAUUUGGAGAUCUGCUCACUGCCCCUGCGACCCUGCCCCGGCCUCACUCUGCGCUCGGCUCGCUGACCUUAAGAUAACGCCUCCGAGAGAUACUUCAAUCCAAGAUUCACGGAGGUGCAGGCCCACCUCUGCUACAAAAACAGCGCAGGCAACCGUGAUGAUGGGUGCGGAUGAAAGAUGACUUAUGAACGAGGUGAAACUGGCUCAGUAGGAAUCUGUGACUUGCGAGAGGGUCUGCCUAUGGGACAAAAAAAAAAAAAAAAAAAAAAUAUCCAAAGCAGAGUCCAGCCACGGAGAGCAGCCUUUGCACUCCUUACUCCAUGCCCACCCAGGUCCGUCCACAGAGGGGCUUCCACCCCAGUGGAAACAGGCUGGUCUGGUUACCCACCGUGGAGAUGAUGGAUUGACGGCUCACUUACGGGAAAAAGGCCGGGGCCUUCAGCCUUCAUUUCCCUGCAGUAGGCCUACCAAGCAAUGAUCCAUGGGAAGCCAAAUCAACAAGGAAAUUGGGCUAGAUCUUUGCCCUCCCGAAUGCAGUACAAAAGCCAUUUUGCUCAUUACCCUGCCACGAGGAACGUUGACCAACAUUACUCUCCGAUUGGUCCCGACGCCAGUAAUUUCAUCUCCUAACAAUCUGAUCCUGACAAAUUAAUUUCUGCUCCAUUUUUUUAUUUAUUUUUUUAUGCUGAAAAGAACCCCUUCAAUUCAGCAGUGACAAAAACGGAGUCGGACAAAGUGAGAUAAUUUAAGUGACUGUAAAUGGUGAUUGACCAAAGCUCCAACCGCCUGGCUCUUCCAAAGACAGGCAAGUCUACGUUACCUAAAGAAAAAGCUGCUGUAAAAAUGUACCCCAUAUAAAUAAGAGGAAAUUAAUUAAAUGCAGGGCGGGCGGUUUGGCGCCAUGGAAAGAAUACACAAUUUAGAGUCUUGCGCCAAGGAGCCAAAUGGACAAAAUGAAGGUGAUCAGUCAUAUUUUGCUGCUUUUUGACAUUAAGCAUAUGCUUUUUUUUUCUUCUAAGAGGUCAGCUAAGCAAUUUAGACAAAUUGGACAAAAUUGCAAAGGUAAACAUAGGGAGCGGUCUCGUAAUGUUUCUUUCACUCUCUCUUUCUUUCCCUCAGUCUCAUUCUCAGACACUAUUUUGUUUAGUAAAUCCCUUACCUAAAUUUUCUGUGACGGUAACGGUGAGACAAAACGACUCCGUCAGGGCUAUCGGGGGGGGGCUGGACUGUGUUAUGGGUGUUUGACUGCAUCACCGUCUGCCGAGGCCAACUCAAACUACACUCCUUUGCCCCAGAAAAUACUUAUUCAACUACUACAACUUUAUGGUCCAAGGUUUCUUUCAAUGAAUGGAUAUGUCUGAUACUUGUUGAUAGUUGUUGCUGCCUUAGAGCGAUUUCAUAGGAUAGAUCAGGGGUGUCAAACAUACAACUGGCCUGCCAAAGAGUCCAAUUUGGAGGACUUUGCAAAGUGAAAAAAAUUGCAGAGAAGUCAUUAGUUUUAAUUGCACUGCUAUUCUUAUUGUCAACUGGGGGUCUCACUGUCCCAAUAAUACGUGACACACCACUGUCAAGUGUAGGUUACUGUUAAUUUAGCAGCCACCGGUGGAAAAUGCAUUUGUCAAAAAUGAGACGCAGUGUCGAGUUUUCUAAGAAAAACAAUGGACCAGUUCCUAUUUCUUCACAGAGGUAAGUGGGAAGCCAGUGCCCAAGUAAUAUAAUAUUCAGCAUUAUCAUCGCAAUGGUUUUCUUGGCCGGCCCAUUUGAAAUCAAAUUGGUCUGCAUGUGGCCCAUUAACUAAGAUGAGUUUGACACCCCUGGAAUACAUAAUAUGAGCUUUCAGUUUUCAGUAUGUCUAACGCUUUGUUUAAAAAUGAGAAAUGUGACUGUUGUUGAUGUGCCACUUACACUGUACAUUUUCUGCACCUUGUGUUGCCUUCAUCAGCCCGUAGGAACUUUACGCAAAUGUCUCAUUUCUAACCGGAAUUUUUUUUAUGACAAUCUACAACUACAACACUGUAGUUGCCAGACAGUAGAGUAGGUUCCAUGUGAACAUCUAGUUUGGAAGCUUUGCAAUCCGCUUUUGUAAUAUUCACCCAGUGCGCACAGAGCCCAAAAGUGAUCUCCAAGUUUUUGAAAGGCUUUGGUUCCGGAAGUGAAUUACCCAUUCAUUCACUCCAUUGACCUUUCAGAAAAUCCUUAUAUAGAGUUUUAAGUCUGGAACUAAGCCAACAACUAUUAGAUGAAUCAUGACCAUUUUGAUUCAGAGCAAAAAAAUAAAAAAUUGGAUAACCGAAAGAAAAAAAAAAAAGGCAAAGGUGCAAGACUGUACAUGACGAUCAAAGAGUUCAGUGUGCAGUAAACGUUUCCACGGUAACAGCGAGCUCCACCAAUCGGAGGCGUCGCUGUUUUUCUUAAAACAAGGUUGAUAUCGUACCCACUCGUGGCUUCUACAGGAGCAUACAGUAUACCCUAGUUUGACAAUCUCGUAGCCUGCAGUAAGUAGACCUUUGACAGUUAUAGCAUUAUGGCUAAUGAUCAAAAUCCUUGAUUCAGAAAAUGAAUGGGAUUUUCACUUCCAGAACCGGACUGUUGAGCUCUGUUGUGACAUUGAAUAACUGCUAUGACAUCCACUAGUGUGAAGGGAAGAAGAAAGUUCCUCCUGUCUGCAUUGUUUCAUGCAACUGCCAAAUAAAUCUUUCAAGUACA